rnacentral:misc_RNA from 1 species
UUUAUGGGGAUAAUUUUUUCAAGACUGCUUCCUACACAAUAGAGGCAGUUUGUGCAAAAUCAUAUGAAGACACCACGCAGAAACUCAAAGAGAUUGAAGUGCAAAUUUUACAAAAAAGAAAUGAACUACGUCAAUUUGAGACAGAAUACAGGAAGGCUUUGGCGCGCUUUCAAGAAGUAACCAGCAAAUACAGCCAGGAAAAGCAAUCAGUGG